UACGUAGGGGGCAAGCGUUGUCCGGAUUUAUUGGGCGUAAAGCGCUCGCAGGUGGUUCGUUGCGUCGUGCGUGAAAGACCCCGGCUCAACUGGGGAGUGUCGUGCGAUACGGGCGAACUGGAGGCCAGUAGGGGGAUGCGGAAUUCCGGGUGUAGUGGUGGAAUGCGUAGAGAUCCGGAGGAACACCAGCGGCGAAGGCGGCAUCCUGGACUGGUUCUGACACUCAUGAGCGAAAGCGUGGGGAGCGAUCCGG
rnacentral:rRNA from 1 species